GGCGAACGGGUGCGUAACGCGUAUGCAACUUACCUUUUACUAGAGAAUAGCCAAGAGAAAUUUUGAUUAAUGCUCUAUGUUCUUAUUUACUCGCAUGAGUAAAUAAGCAAAGCUCCGGCGGUAAAAGAUGGGCAUGCGUCCUAUUAGCUUGUAGGUGAGGUAAUGGCUCACCUAAGCUCCGAUAGGUAGGGGUCCUGAGAGGGAGAUCCCCCACACUGGUACUGAGACACGGACCAGACUUCUACGGAAGGCAGCAGUAAGGAAUAUUGGACAAUGGAGGCAACUCUGAUCCAGCCAUGCCGCGUGAAGGAAGACGGCCUUAUGGGUUGUAAACUUCUUUUAUACAGGAAGAAACCUUUCCACGUGUGGAAAGCUGACGGUACUGUAAGAAUAAGGAUCGGCUAACUCCGUGCCAGCAGCCGCGGUAAUACGGAGGAUCCAAGCGUUAUCCGGAAUUAUUGGGUUUAAAGGGUCCGCAGGCUGUUUGUUAUGUCAGAGGUGAAAUCCUACCGCUCAACGGUAGAACUGCCUUUGAUACUGGCAAACUUGAGUUAUUGUGAAGUAGUUAGAAUGUGUAGUGUAGCGGUGAAAUGCAUAGAUAUUACACAGAAUACCGAUUGCGAAAGCAGAUUACUAACAAUAUACUGACGCUGAGGGACGAAAGCGUGGGUAGCGAGCAGGAUUAGAUACCCUGGUAGUCCACGCCGUAAACGAUGGUCACUAGCUGUU
rnacentral:rRNA from 1 species